rnacentral:rRNA from 1 species
GUAGUCCACGCCGUAAACGUUGGGCACUAGGUGUGGGACCCUAUCGACGGGAUCCGUGCCGUAGCUAACGCAUUAAGUGCCCCGCCUGGGGAGUACGGCCGCAAGGCUAAAACUCAAAGGAAUUGACGGGGGCCCGCACAAGCGGCGGAGCAUGUUGCUUAAUUCGAUGCAACGCGAAGAACCUUACCUAGGCUUGACAUGUAGCGAAAAGCCACAGAGAUGCGGUGUCCUUCGGGGCGCUACACAGGUGGUGCAUGGUUGUCGUCAGCUCGUGUCGUGAGAUGUUGGGUUAAGUCCCGCAACGAGCGCAACCCUUGUCCUAUGUUGCCAGCGAAUAAUGUCGGGGACUCGUAGGAGACUGCCGGGGUCAACUCGGA